GAGGAUCUUCGGCAAUGGGCGAAAGCCUGACCGAGCGACGCCGCGUGCGGGAUGAAGGCCUUCGGGUUGUAAACCGCCGUCAGAGGGGAGGAAGUGCUAUGGGGUACUCUCCAUAGUUUGACCUAUCCUCAGAGGAAGGACGGGCUAAGUUCGUGCCAGCAGCCGCGGUAAGACGAACCGUCCAAACGUUAUUCGGAAUCACUGGGCUUAAAGGGUGCGUAGGCGGCUCAGAAAGUAGGGUGUGAAAGCCAUCGGCUCAACCGAGGAAUUGCGUCCUAAACUACUGGGCUUGAGGGAGACAGAGGUAAGCGGAACUUAGGGUGGAGCGGUGAAAUGCGUUGAUAUCCUAAGGAACACCAGGAGCGAAAGCGGCUUACUGGGUCUCUUCUGACGCUAAGGCACGAAAGCUAGGGGAGCGAACG
rnacentral:rRNA from 1 species